CCCUUAGAUGUUCUGGGCCGCACGCGCGCUACACUGAUGCAUUCAACGAGUCUAAAACCUGCUCUGAUAGGGGUGGGUAAUCUUUUGAAUGUGCAUCGUGAUUGGGAUAGAUGAUUGCAAUUUUUCAUCUUCAACGAGGAAUGCCUAGUAAACGCAAGUCAUCAGCUUGCAUUGAUUACGUCCCUGCCCUUUGUACACACCGCCCGUCGCUCCUACCGAUUGAAUGAUCCGAAGAAUAUCAUGGAUUGAGGAUGUAAGCAGGUUCGCCUGUCUUCAUCUUCGAGAAGUGAAGUAAAUCUUAUCAUUUAGAGGAAGGAGAAGUCGUAACA
rnacentral:rRNA from 1 species